GGAUUAGAAACCCCGGUAGUCCACGCCCUAAACCAUGUCAACUGGCUUUCCGGAGUAUCGACCCUCUGGGAGGCGAAGCUAACGCGUUAAGUUGACCGCCUGGGUAGUACGACCGCAAGGUUAAAACUCAAAGGAAUAGACGGGGGCUUGCACAAGCGGUGGAGCGUGUGGCUUAAUUCGUCGCUAAGCGAAGAACCUUACCAGGGCUAGAAAUCCUACUGCACGCCUAGCGAAAGCUAGGAAGCCUUCGAGGGUGUAGGACAGGUGAUGCAUGGCUGUCGUCAGUUCGUGGUUUGAACCGUUCCCUUCAGUGGGGUAACGAACGCAACCCUCGUUGUCUGUUACACGUAUCAGGCGAGACUGCCCCCUCACGGGGGAGGAAGGUGAGGAUGAC
rnacentral:rRNA from 1 species